UCAAACAAACCUAGUUUCCUUUUAUUUUAAAGUCGAGGACCAAAUUUAACGACAAAGUGGAUUCCCACUAAUUGCCUACAUAUGAUUUGUCAAAAUUUUGAAGCUUUAGCCACUGCAUUUAAGUGUCAAAACAGAGUGAUACAAGUGACAGAUACAAUGUAGAUAUGAACAUUCACUUGACGUAUAAGGGACACUAUGGUGUUAACCUAAAUUUUUACCCCACAGAAUUGUAGUUAAAACCACGUCGAUGUAUAGCUUAUGAUACACGAAUUUCCUGAAAACUUUAGAGCUUACAUUAUUUUAAAAUAGUAAAUUUCAGGUAUAGAAGCACGCUCUGGCAUGCAAUUUCGAUGGGCACAGGUACUACAUUCCCAAAAUUUCAGGAAGCUGCGGUUGCGAUGGAAAUCUCUCAGAAUAUGACGAAACAUGAAUUUAAUUGUAGUUCAAGGGAAAUAAAUGAAUAAUAAAUUCUCAGAGGAAACAUUAUCUGUAUCCUGUUUUUAGAUAUUUAGGUUGUAACGAUGGAUAUUCAAAAUUACAUGUUAUGGCAGAGCAGCAAAAAUUGCUACAUUUUUAACUUAAUUAAACAAUUAAAUUAAACUGAUUAUCGUAACUGAUAAAAACUAAACACGUCUGAGAAUAAGUUUAUGACACGGAAUAUCUAUUUGUCAUCGAUGUGUACCGGCGGCGGUUGGUGUCGUUAAGGAGGUAGAAUCGGCAGCGUGGCUAGCCUCUGUUAAAAAUUAGAAAUUAAUCAAAACUGUUGAUUACUAAAAAAUUAUUAAUAUAUGCAUAAAUUAAUUUAUAAAUGCUGAUCAAGUUGGCUAUGACUAUGACAAUUAAAAUUUAACAA